ensembl:lncRNA
GCUAAUGCCCCAGCAGCCCUCCCCACCACUCCCCGAGGUCCUAAAACCUGCCUGACCCAAGGGUCUCACAGUCCUCCUCAACAAACACCACUCAUACACUUAGAAUAUCUAUCUCCCUUCCUCAACCCAACCCCCUCCCUCACCUCAACUCAACCCCCCCACCCUCAACCCAAACCCCCUCCUUCACCUCAACCCAACCCCCCUACCCUCAACCCAAACCCCUCCCUCACCUCAACCCAACCCCCCCAACCUCAACCCAAACCCCCUCCUUCACCCCAACCCCCUCCCUCACCUCAACUCAACCCCCCCACCCCCCACCCUCAACCCAACCCCCCACCCUCACCUCAACUCAACCCCCCCACCCUCACCUCAACCCAACCCCCCUACCCUCAACCCAAACCCCCUCCCUCACCUCAACUCAACCCCCCCACCCUCAACCCAAACUCCCACCCUCAACCCAACCCCCCUACCCUCAACCCAAACCCCCUCCCUCCCUCACCUCAACUCAACCCCCCCACCCUCAACCCAAACUCCCUCCUUCACCUCAACCAACCCCCUCACCCUCAACCAACCCCCACCCUCAACCCAAACCCCCUCCUUCACCUCAACCCAACACCCCCACCUUCAACCCAAACCCCCUCCCUCACCUCAACUCAACCCCCCCACCCUCAACCCAAACCCCCUCCUUCACCUCAACACAACCCCCCCACCCUCAACCAACCCCCACCCUCAACCCAAACCCCCUCCUUCACCUCAACCCAACACCCCCACCCUCAACCAACCCCCACCCUCAACCCAAACCCCCUCCCUCACCUCAACCCAACCCCCCUCCUUCACCUCAACCCAACCCCCCCACCCUCAACCCAAAACCCCCUCCUUCACCUCAACUCAACCCCCCCACCCUCAACCCAACCCCCUCCUUCACCUCAACCAAAUCCCCCCACCCUCAACCCAAACCCCCUCCUUCACCUCAACCCAACCCCCCCACCCUCAACCCAACCCAACCCCCACCCUCAACCCAAACCCCCUCCUUCACCUCAAUUCAACCCCCUCACCUCAACCCAACCCCCACCCUCAACCCAAACCCCCUCCUUCACCACAACUCAACCCCCUCACCCCAACCUAACCCCCCACCCUCAACCCAACACACACCCUCAACCCUCAACCCAACCCCCACCCUCAACCCAACCCAACCCCCCACCCUCAACCCAACCCCUCCACCCUCAACCCAACCCCCUCCUUCACCCCAACCCUCAACCCAACCCCCUACCCUCAACCCAACCCUCAACCCAACCCAACCCCCACCCUCAACCCAACCCCCCACCCUCAACCCAACCCCCUACCCUCAACCCAACCCCCACCCUCAACCCAACCCAACCCCCCACCCUCAACCCAACCCCCCACCCUCAACCCAACCCCCCCACCCUCAACCCAACCCCCACCCCCAACCCCCCCUUCACCUCAACCCAACCCCCCCACCCUCAACUCAACCCCCUACCCUCAACCCAACCCAACCCCCCACCCUCAACCCAACCCCCACCCUCAACCCCCCCCCCUUCACCUCAACCCAACCCCCCACCCUCAACCCAACCCCUCUACCCCCAACCCAACCCAACCCCCCACCCUCAACCCAACCCCCUACCCUCAACCCAACCCAACCCCCCACCCUCAACCCAACCCCCCCACCCCCAACCCAACCCCCACCCUCAACCCCCCCCUUCACCUCAACCCAACCCCCCACCCUCAACCCAACCCCUCUACCCCCAACCCAACCCCCACCCUCAAACCCCCCUUCACCUCAACCCAACCCCUCCACCCUCAACCCAACCCACCCCCUUCACCUCACCUCAACCCAACCCCCACCCUCAACCCAACCCCGACCCUCAACCCAACCCCCCACCCUCAACCCAACCCCCACCCUUAACCCAACCCCCCACCCUCAACCCAACCCCCCACCCUCACCCACCCCCCACCCUCAACCCAACCCACCCCCCCUUCACCUCAUCUCAACCCAACCCCCCACCCUCAACCCAACCCCCACCCUCACCACAAACAAUGGUUUUAACAGUUGUAAACAUGCUCCAUUAA